AGUAGAGGUAAACGGUUUCCGAGUCUUGGGUUCCCGUAUGGUGCUACGGUCGCAGCUGGGUCGCUGGCGGCUCGGGAGCGAGGUGACACUCUCCGCAACACGCUCCCCCUCCCCCGCUCGGCCGCGGCGAGGAGAGGGCCUUCGGCGGCCCUUCUCGAGGGUUCUUAGCAGGAAGAACCCCCAGAUCCUCCUUUCCCGAAGGGCGCGAGCCCAGACCCGUGGUCGCAGCACAGUGAGAUCGUUCUUGCCCUGAGGACGCUCUGCUGUGGCCUCUGGGUGGGAGGAGAGGAUCAAAUGAAGUCAUGUCUGUGAAAACCCCUAGUGGACAGCGCAGCGGCCGCCACAUCUAAGCCCCGGGUCAUUAAAAUGGAAACAGCGAGGUCAGCUGUUGCCGAGCGGAGAAAAUGAUGCCGUGUGCAAAACUGCUUUGACUGGGGGAAAAGGACUGUGUGUCUUUGUAAGAUGUUACUCGUUGACUUGAGAGCCACAUGAAAUAUUCUGAAAUAAAAUGGAGGCAUCAAUAAGUAAAAA